rnacentral:rRNA from 1 species
ACGUGAGUAACCUGCCCUUGACUCUGGGAUAAGCGUUGGAAACGACGUCUAAUACCGGAUACGAGCUUCAGCCGCAUGGCUAGGAGUUGGAAAGAAUUUCGGUCAAGGAUGGACUCGCGGCCUAUCAGCUAGUUGGUGAGGUAAUGGCUCACCAAGGCGACGACGGGUAGCCGGCCUGAGAGGGUGACCGGCCACACUGGGACUGAGACACGGCCCAGACUCCUACGGGAGGCAGCAGUGGGGAAUAUUGCACAAUGGGCGCAAGCCUGAUGCAGCAACGCCGCGUGAGGGACGACGGCCUUCGGGUUGUAAACCUCUUUUAGCAGGGAAGAAGCGAAAGUGACGGUACCUGCAGAAAAAGCACCGGCUAACUACGUGCCAGCAGCCGCGGUAAUACGUAGGGUGCAAGCGUUGUCCGGAAUUAUUGGGCGUAAAGAGCUCGUAGGCGGUUUGUCGCGUCUGCUGUGAAAACGCGAGGCUCAACCUCGCGCCUGCAGUGGGUACGGGCAGACUAGAGUGCGGUAGGGGAGAUUGGAAUUCCUGGUGUAGCGGUGGAAUGCGCAGAUAUCAGGAGGAACACCGAUGGCGAA